GAAAAAGUAUACAAGAACUGCUAACUCUAUGUCCCCGCGCCUAACAGCGUGGCUUUUUCA
rnacentral:tRNA from 1 species